rnacentral:lncRNA from 1 species
AUGAAAAAAUUGAGGCUCAAAGAAGUCCACCAAAUUGAGAGUGAAGUAGGGGAAACAGCAUUUAACACUUACAUUCUAAUGAUAUGUGUAAGAGCAGCAGGACAAGCUAUACAAAGAAAGAGGUGAAAUUAUCAGGGUGGAAUCAAAGAUGCUUCCAAACAGAGGGAAUAUCUCCAGCCAUGACUCAGAGAGAUCCAAUCGAGUACCAGGUCCAGCAGUAAUCUAUUCGCAGAUGUAGUGGAACAUCUCAGGAGAAUAAAAAAUAAAAUAACCUAAACAA